UACGUAGGUGGCAAGCGUUAUCCGGAUUUAUUGGGCGUAAAGCGAGCGCAGGCGGUCUUUUAAGUCUAAUGUGAAAGCCUUCGGCUCAACCGAAGAAGUGCAUUGGAAACUGGGAGACUUGAGUGCAGAAGAGGACAGUGGAACUCCAUGUGUAGCGGUGAAAUGCGUAGAUAUAUGGAAGAACACCAGUGGCGAAGGCGGCUGUCUGGUCUGCAACUGACGCUGAGGCUCGAAAGCAUGGGUAGCGAAC
rnacentral:rRNA from 1 species